rnacentral:lncRNA from 1 species
ACUGGAAAAUACCACUAUUUCUUUAUCCAAAUGUUCUUUAGAGUCAGAAUUUGCUGAAAGUGGAAGAGAGAACAGCAUCAGAUCUUCUAGUGAUUUCCUGCAAAGUUUUGAAGACUGGGAUUGUUUUGGUGAUGAGCAAGAUUUUUUUUGUGAUUCAAGUGGUCUAGAAAUAGAAGAAAAGACCAUUAAUUGCUCUGAAACUGAUGCAGUUCAAAAUACAGCUAUAUAUGUGGAAACAGGCAGCAACUUACCAUCCCAUUUGGCUGCAAAUAUGCAAGAAAAUAGAGACCAAAAUAUUACCAAUGGUUUGGUAAGGAAAAUUGUGAGUGGAACUGACGCUCAAGCAUGCAAUAGUCAAGGCUUAAUACCACCUCACAUCAGUCAAAUUUAUGAUGAAUUAUUUGUUAUACAUCAGAAGCUCCAGGUAGGAACUGGAAUCACCUUAAAAAAUUUUGU